rnacentral:rRNA from 1 species
CCUACGGGAGGCAGCAGUGGGGAAUCUUGCGCAAUGGGCGAAAGCCUGACGCAGCAACGCCGCGUGCGGGAUGAAGGCCUUCGGGCUGUAAACCGCUUUCAGCAGGAACGAAAAUGACGGUACCUGCAGAAGAAGGAGCGGCCAACUACGUGCCAGCAGCCGCGGUGACACGUAGGUUCCAAGCGUUGUCCGGAUUUAUUGGGCGUAAAGAGCUCGUAGGCGGUUGAGUAAGUCGGGUGUGAAAACUCUGGGCUUAACCCGGAGACGCCAUCCGAUACUGCUCUGACUAGAGUUCAGGAGGGGAGUGGGGAAUUCCUAGUGUAGCGGAGAAAUGCGCAGAUAUUAGGAGGAACACCGGUGGCGAAGGCGCCACUCUGGACUGAAACUGACGCUGAGGGGCGAAAGCAUGGGUAGCAAACAGGAUUAGAUACCCUGGUAGUCCAUGCCGUAAACGGUGGGCACUAGGUGUGGGUUCCAACUAACGGGAUCCGCGCCGUCGCUAACGCAUUAAGUGCCCCACCUGGGGAGUACGGUCGCAAGACUAAAACUCAAAGGAAUUGACGG